UGCGGGAUCGUAUAACUGGCAGUACGCCAGAUUCUGGAUCUGGUUGUCAAGGUUCGAGUCCUUGUCCCGCAG
rnacentral:tRNA from 1 species